GUUUAAUGGUACAAAAUGAGCAGAAAAUAGUAAACAAUGGCAUUUUGAAGGAUUCUGUCCACGAUACAAAGAUUAAAGUUUAAUCAUGUGGAGUUGCAUCAUAAAAUUUCCACCCAAGUGACAAUCAGAUUUGUCUGAAAGACCCCUCUGUUAGUGGAGUAAAGGAUGGAUCAGAGGAGAGGGAGAACAGAGACAGGGAGAGGGGGAGUCAAAAAAUGGAGCUGUUGCAGGAUAAAGGCGGUGAGGCGUGAUGAGGGUUUGUAUUAGGGCAGGAGCUACAGAAAUGGAGAGGGAGAGACAAAUACAAGACAGAUCAAAAAAUCAAAGUCAAUGAGACUUCCUGAUAGAUUACAUAUGGGGCAUGUAGGGAAAACAGUAUGUAAAGCAAGUGAUCUAUUGCAAUGGAUUAAAUGUUUGUGUCCCCGCAAAGUCAUAUUUGACUAACCCCCAAUGGGAUGGUAUUAAAAGGUGGAAUCUUUGGGAGGUAAUCAGGUCAUGAGGGUGGAGGAUUGUGAAUGAAUAGGAUUGUGCCCAUACAAAAGGGUCCACAGAGAGUUAUCUCACCAUCUUUUCCAUAAAGUGAGGACAUCACAGAGAUGACAGUCUGCAAUUCAGAAGACAGCCUUCACCAGAACCAGACCAUACUGGUACCCUGAUGGUGGACUUCCAACAUCCAACGGUGAGAAGUAAGUUUCUGUUGUUUAAAAGCUCGCCAGCCUGUAGUAUUUUGUUACAGCAUCUGAACUAAGAGUUCUGCUGUAUUUUCAAUUUUCCUUCUCCUUCUUGUGAAUGUAAAGGAUGUCAUAAUUUUUAACUGUGUUUAUAAUGCAUAAUUGGAACAGUCCGACAUAUCAGAAGGGAGGCUAUCACAUUAUGCUUUUAGAGAUAAGGAUAUUACCUUAAGUGUAAAACUUGCAUUUUCUGCCUUUUCUUAAACCAAAUCACAAGCAGAAGUCAAUGCACCUGGAGACAGGGAUGCACCGAGGGUAACCAAACCAUAGUCAAUGCACCUGGAGACAGGGAUACACCGAGGGUAACCAAACCAUAGUCAAUGCACCUGGAGACAGGGAUGCACCGAGGGUAACCAAACCACGUUCAAUGCGCCUGGAGACAGGGAUGCACCGAGGGUAACCAAACCACGGUCAAUGCACCUGGAGACAGGGAUACACCGAGGGUAACCAAACCAUAGUCAAUGCACCUGGAGACAGGGAUGCACCGAGGGUAACCAAACCAUGGUCAAUGCACCUGGAGACAGGGAUGCACCGAGGGACCAAACCACGGUCAAUGCACCUGGAGACAGGGAUGCACCGAGGGUAACCAAACCACGUUCAAUGCGCCUGGAGACAGGGAUGCACCGAGGGUAACCAAACCACGUCAAUGCACCUGGAGACAGGGAUACACCGAGGGUAACCAAACCAUAGUCAAUGCACCUGGAGACAGGGAUGCACCGAGGGUAACCAAACCACGUUCAAUGCGCCUGGAGACAGGGAUGCACCGAGGGUAACCAAACCACGGUCAAUGCACCUGGAGACAGGGAUACACCGAGGGUAACCAAACCAUAGUCAAUGCACCUGGAGACAGGGAUGCACCGAGGGUAACCAAACGAUGGUCAAUGCACCUGGAGACAGGGAUGCACCGAGGGACCAAACCACGGUCAAUGCACCUGGAGACAGGGAUGCACCGAGGGUAACCAAACCACGGUCAAUGCACCUGGAGACAGGGAUGCACCGAGGGUAACCAAACCAUGGUCAAUGCACCUGGAGACAGGGAUGCACCGAGGGUAACCAAGUCAUAGCCAGGAUGUUUCUCACAGUGUAGCUUCUCAUUACUUUGGUCUUUGCACCUUUACCAAGUGCACAUGAGAAUUAUUAGAUGAGGGAGGGAAUGUAGAAAUGGGAUGCAGAAAUGAAAAAUGUAGACAUGAACACCUGCCUCAUGACAUUUAAGGCUUGCUUUUAUUUUAGUAAACAUCACUGGGCAAAAC
rnacentral:lncRNA from 1 species